ensembl:lncRNA
GGCUGGCGCCGCUGGGCUGGGCGGCGGCGCCGCCUCGCGGCCAAGCCUGCAGGUGAGAGGCUCCCGGGUUUCCUGUCUGUCAGUUUUUCUGUCUCACGGUCGCCUGCCUGACUGUCUGGCUAACAUAUCCAUCCGCCUGUCUUGACGCCUCACAAUCUCACCUGUGUCUCUCCGUCCAUCGGUCUCUCACUUAUCACACCGCCGUCCACUGGAGAGUCAGAUUUGUCCGCCCGUCCGUCUACGUCCAUCUUUCAGUAAAUUGCCACCCCACCAAAGAAGACCCUAAAUUAGUACCAGAUUCUAGGCUUCAGGAAGGCAAAGGCCAGGUUUGUCUCAUUCACUGCUCUACCCAGUGCCUGGCACGGAGCACAGGAUACACUCAACCACCCCCUCCUCCAGGAACCCUUCCCUGACCACCACCCAGGCUUGGAUAAUUGAUCCUACAA